UUGGGUUAUUUCCUCUUCAAUAUUUAACAUAAGCUCACUUUUAUCAAAUGUUGGUAUCCUCUUUAAUAUUUAACAUAAGCUCACUUUCAUCAAAUGUUGGUACUUGAUCAAGUUCUCCAUUAUCUGAAUCUAAACUGUAUUAUUAAGAUUAUCAAGAUCUUUUAGUAUGGAUAAUCCCAAAUCCACCUACGAUAAAGCUAUGAAGUAUGCAACAUAUUACUACGAUCCAACCUUGUUUUUUUAUGCUACACUAAGAUGAUGUUAUUAAUAUGGAAAUAUUUUUUUAGAACAACAAAUGUCUUUCAAUGACAUUUUGAAGCCUUGAAUGUCUCAAAUUAAAGAGUUUGUAAGUUAUCUCUUGUUACAUUCUCUCAAAUAAUUCAUUUCUUGUUCCGUUCUCUCAAAUAAUAUCAUAAUCCACGAUAUAGUACAAGAAAACCUCUUGGAUUUGCAUAAUUAAUAUUUACCAUACAAUAUGAGGGUUCAUGGUGCAAAUGGUCUGUUAAUUAAUCAUAAAAACUCAUAUAAACCUAAUUUGAAAAAAAUUAUGCUAAGUGAUAACCCUUUUUAUAAUAUGUAAAUUAAGCAAAAAAAUAAUUUAAAAUUUAUAUUAUAUAACUUUUAUAAAAAGAGUGUUUACAAAGUGUCUAAUAACUUUUAUCAUAAAUAAUAUAACUUUUUGUCAUAACUUUAAAAAGUUAUUUUUUUACAAAUAAGUUAUGAUAAAAAAAUAUAAUAUUUUUUUACGAAAAAAAAAUUAUUUUUAUAACAUAUAGUAAGGGCACAUAAAUAAAUUAUGUUAUAACUUUUUAUAAAUAAAUAUAUUAUGACAUAUAAAUUACUUUUUAUAAUACAAUUUUUUUUGGCCAUAACUUAUUUCUUAGUUAUAAUAAAUACACCUAAAUUAUUUUUACAAGAUAAUUUUCUAAUCCUAAAUAUUAAGUCGUGUUUAUGGUUAUAAUACAUAACUUGUAACGAGGUUGAUUGCAAUAGAAAACAGUUGUACACACCAACAAACCCAAUCCCUAAGAAAGUGGAUUCGUCUAAAAAGUAUUAGUAUUAUAAAUAAAGUAUUAAGUAACAGUCUGAUUUUGUUGCUAAAUCUGUAACCCAAACGGGCGCAAGCAAUUAUAUUAAUCCGGAAGAGAUAGGAGGAAACGUGAUGCGCGAGGAGGGAGUGAAGGCGCGUGAAUGCAACAUUUAAUCAAAAUGGCAUUUUAAAUGAAGUGCGUCAGUAAGUUAGUCAGUACGUCGUUGCAAAUUGACAUCUAGCCAGCUGUUUAUUUACGUAAUUUGCCACUUUCCCCGAAAUUCAACAACCAGGAACGAUGCCCCCCUGUGCCUUGUAUCAUUAAGCAUCUCACGGCUAAUAUUUGCUUCUUGCAGUUAUGUUAUUCUAGGUCCAGUUUGAGGUUAUCAUGCACACACGGAAUAGCUUUUCUGCUAAGGACUAUAUUGUCUUUUUGUGGUGAUGUAUUGUAUUUUUUGUCUUAUUGAUCUUACAUUGGCAACUGCUUGGAAGAAUCCAAUGAGACUUCAUCCAAUAGAUUAUUUUUAAAAUAUCACACAAAAAAGUUGAAUCAUCUAGGUGCCAUGCUUAUAUUUCAAUCAUAAAAGUUUGAUAAUAUUAUGAGAUUAGUGUUGAUUUGAAUUUUUCUUUUGUAUGAAAAUUUUGGGUGUUUGAAUGAUUAGUAUUUAUAAAAAUAAAUAUUUUUAAUUAAAUAAUGAGAAAGUUGACUUAUUUUCAUAUUAUAUUUUAAAAAAUAAGUAGUAACAUAAACGUGGUGAAAAUAUAAACACAAAUUGUAGUGGUGGAAAAAGAACAUUUCCCUCCUUCACAUUAUAAGUUUUUAAUGGAGAAAGGGACUCUUAACUCAAAUCAAUCCUACACAGUUAAAUCGCACCCCAAAUAAGAAGCUGUUGCGCGACAAUUGGGUGAUUUUUUGGGCAAGUUUCUUUGAGUACGAUUCUAAGAGUUUGAGUAAGGGUGUACGGAAUUUCCUAUGGAUAACUAGAUGUUAGAAGGCCUUUAACAAGGAAGAAGAAGACCAUAUUUGAUUCUCGAAACUUCAACUAUAUGUUAGUGUAACGACUCAAUAGUCAUGUGUAAUUGAAAAUUAUAUUUUUGGAUCUCCGUUUUCGUAAAACGGAUUCGAAAAUAUUUAUUAAAAAUAUUAACGAAGCUAGUUGUGUAGUUAAUUAUGUUUUGAUUAGGUGAAUUUGUAUGAAAUAAGAUAAUUAGGUAUAAAGACUAAAUUGCAAAAAGAGUGAAAGUUAAAUUAUAGAUUAAAGAAUAAUUGAAGGGACUAAAUAAAAAUUAUUUCAAUUGGAUUGAAUGAGGCGGUAUUUACUAUAAAACUU
rnacentral:lncRNA from 1 species